UACGGGGUGCGCAAGCGUUGUUCGGAUUUACUGGGCGUAAAGGGCGCGUAGGCGGCCACCGCAAGUCGACUGUGAAAUCUCCGGGCUUAACCCGGAAAGGUCAGCCGAUACUGCGGGGCUAGAGUGCAGAAGGGGCAACUGGAAUUCUCGGUGUAGCGGUGAAAUGCGUAGAUAUCGAGAGGAACACCUGCGGCGAAGGCGGGUUGCUGGGCUGACACUGACGCUGAGGCGCGAAAGCUAGGGGAGCGAACGGG
rnacentral:rRNA from 1 species